GACAGAGGGUGCAAACGUUGUUCGGAAUUACUGGGCGUAAAGCGCGUGUAGGCGGCUAUGUAAGUCGGGCGUGAAAUCCCACGGCUCAACCGUGGAAGUGCACCCGAAACUGCGUAGUUAGAGUCCUGGAGAGGAAGGUGGAAUGCUUGGUGUAGAGGUGAAAUUUCGUAGAUAUCAAGCGGAACACCGGUGGCGAAGGCGGCCUUCUGGACAGUGACUGACGCUGAGACGCGAAAGCGUGGGGAGCAAACAGGG
rnacentral:rRNA from 1 species